rnacentral:rRNA from 1 species
CAGUCGCCACGGGAAUACGAAGGGGGCUAGCGUUGCUCGGAAUUACUGGGCGUAAAGGGAGCGUAGGCGGAUGAAUUAGUCAGGGGUGAAAUCCCGGGGCUCAACCUCGGAACUGCCUUUGAUACUGUUCAUCUUGAGUAUGGGAGAGGUGUGUGGAACUCCGAGUGUAGAGGUGAAAUUCGUAGAUAUUCGGAAGAACACCAGUGGCGAAGGCGACACACUGGCCCAUUACUGACGCUGAGGCUCGAAAGCGUGGGGAGCAAAUGGGAUUAGAUACCCCGGUAGUCCCUGUCUCUUAUAC